CGGGUGAGUAACGCGUAGGCAAUCUACCCUUAUAUUUGGGAUAACAUUGGGAAACUGGUGCUAAUACCGGAUGGUCUUUUAAUCACGCGAGUGAUUUAGAGUAAAGGUGGCCUCUUCUUGAAAGCUACCGUAUAGGGAUGAGCCUGCGUACCAUUAGCUAGUAGGUGGGGGUAACGGCCCACCUAGGCUACGAUGGUUAGCGGGUCUGAGAGGAUGAUCCGCCACACUGGAACUGGAACACGGACCAG
rnacentral:rRNA from 1 species